rnacentral:rRNA from 1 species
UACAGAGGGGGCAAGCGUUGUUCGGAAUUACUGGGCGUAAAGGGCGCGUAGGCGGCCUUCUAAGUCGAACGUGAAAUCCCCGGGCUCAACCCGGGAACUGCGUCCGAUACUGGAAGGCUUGAAUUCGGGAGAGGGAUGCGGAAUUCCAGGUGUAGCGGUGAAAUGCGUAGAUAUCUGGAGGAACACCGGUGGCGAAAGCGGCUUCCUGGUCCAGCAUCGACGUUCAGGCACGAAAGCGUGGGGAGCAAACAGG